rnacentral:tRNA from 1 species
GCCCUAGUAGCCCAGUAUUUAAGGCAUCGGUCUUGUAAACCGAAGAGCGGAGGUGAGAUUCCUCUCUAGAGCA